AUACGGAGGGUGCGAGCGUUGUUCGGAAUCACUGGGCGUAAAGGGCGCGCAGGCGGCUUGUUAAGUCAGAUGUGAAAUCCCACGGCUUAACCGUGGAAGUGCAUUUGAAACUGGCAGGCUUGAGUACCAGAGGGGAAAGUGGAAUUCCCGGUGUAGAGGUGAAAUUCGUAGAUAUCGGGAGGAAUACCGGUGGCGAAGGCGACUUUCUGGCUGGAUACUGACGCUGAGGCGCGAAGGCGUGGGGAGCAAACAGGAUUAGAUACCCUGGUAGUCCACGCCGUAAACGAUGUGCACUAGAUGUUGGGGGUGUUGAUACCUUCAGUGUCGCAGCUAACGCAUUAAGUGCACCGCCUGGGGAGUACGGUCGCAAGAUUAAA
rnacentral:rRNA from 1 species